UACGGGGGGGGCAAGCGUUGUUCGGAAUUACUGGGCGUAAAGGGCUCGUAGGCGGCCAAUUAAGUCAGACGUGAAAUCCCUCGGCUUAACCGGGGAACUGCGUCUGAUACUGGAUGGCUUGAGAUUGGGAGAGGGAUGCGGAAUUCCAGGUGUAGCGGUGAAAUGCGUAGAUAUCUGGAGGAACACCGGUGGCGAAGGCGGCAUCCUGGGCCAACACUGACGCUGAGGAGCGAAAGCCAGGGGAGCAAACGGG
rnacentral:rRNA from 1 species